rnacentral:rRNA from 1 species
AUGAAGGCAUACACGGCAGUCGAGGACAAGCUUCUUUGCGAGUGUUGGGGGGACAUUGGACAAGACCCCAAGACCGGUGCCGAACAAAAGCAUUCAACCUUUUGCAUUCGUGUCCACCGGGAGUUUCAUGAGCGCAAGAAGUUUCCUCCUUAUCAAAUUGUGAGCACGCGUGGGUGGGUGUCCAUUUAGAAGCGAUGGAGAGUGAUCCAACAAGAGUGCAACAAGUUUUGUGCCACUCUUGAGAGCGUCAAGGCCCGCCCCGUGAGCAACAUCGGCAUGCAAGACAUUGUAUGGUAG